ACUGCAGUGGAGGCACUUCAAGC
rnacentral:miRNA from 3 species